GGGGGCGUUCCGGCUUCGACGGGGAACAUAAGCGGUUCUUGGGUAGCGUGUCGUUUUUUUCCGCGCGAUACGCGGAUAACACACCUGCCAACGAUAACUUGGCUCUGGCUGCUUAAACACCAGUCAGCGCGGCGACGGAAGCCUUGAUUCACGGCGUCUGCCGUUCGCGUCGCUAAAGUGGAUCAAUGGGUGCAGUUGGCCUCAGCCUGCACCCGGAUACUCAUGAGGCUGGCUGAACGCGGCAGAUGGUCCCGGUUCCAACCGCGCUCGGCGAGAUCCCCAAACCGAGACUACGCACGUAGAAGCCCUUGAGACGCGUUCUUCGGACGCGGGUUCGAUUCCCGCCGCCUCCACCA
rnacentral:tmRNA from 1 species